rnacentral:rRNA from 1 species
UACGAAGGGGGCUAGCGUUGCUCGGAAUCACUGGGCGUAAAGCGCACGUAGGCGGAUUGCUAAGUCAGGGGUGAAAUCCUGGAGCUCAACUCCAGAACUGCCCUUGAUACUGGCGGUCUCGAGUCCGGGAGAGGUGAGUGGAACUGCGAGCGUAGAGGUGAAAUUGGUAGAUAUUCGCAAGAACACCAGUGGCGAAGGCGGCUCACUGGCCCGGUACUGACGCUGAGGUGCGAAAGCGUGGGGAGCAAACAGG